rnacentral:rRNA from 1 species
UCGCCUGUUUAUCAAAAACAUCGCCUCUUGUUUAUUUAUAAGAGGUCCAGCCUGCCCAGUGACUCAAUUCAACGGCCGCGGUAUCCUAACCGUGCGAAGGUAGCGUAAUCACUUGUUCUUUAAAUGAGGACUUGUAUGAAUGGCAUCACGAGGGUUUUACUGUCUCCUUUUUCUAAUCAGUGAAACUAAUCUUCCCGUGAAGAAGCGGGAAUAAACCUAUAAGACGAGAAGACCCUAUGGAGCUUUAAAUAUAUAGCAAUUGCUUAUUUUAUACUAUAUCCCGAUAUUUAAUACUUAAUUUAGCAUUAUGAACUACAAAUUUUAGGUUGGGGUGACCAUGGAGCAAAAAUCAACCUCCACAUUGAAUAAAACUUUACUUUUUAGCAAAAAGUUACCACUUUAAGCACCAACAUAUUGACAUUAAUUGACCCAAUAAUUUGAUCAAUGAACCAAGUUACCCUAGGGAUAACAGCGCAAUCUACUUCAAGAGCUCUUAUCGACAAGUAGGUUUACGACCUCGAUGUUGGAUCAGGGUAUCCCAGUGGUGCAGCCGCUACUAAAGGUUCGUUUGUUCAACGAUUAAAACCCUACGUGAUCUGAGUUCAGACCGGA